rnacentral:rRNA from 1 species
UACAGAGGGUGCAAGCGUUAAUCGGAGUUACUGGGCGUAAAGGGCGCGUAGGCGGUCUUACAAGUGAGAUGUGAAAUCCCCCGGGCUUAACCUGGGAACUGCAUCUUAAACUGUGAGGCUGGAGUACUGUAGAGGAUAGUGGAAUUUCCGGUGUAGCGGUGAAAUGCGUAGAGAUCGGAAGGAACACCAGUGGCGAAGGCGACUGUCUGGACAGAUACUGACGCUGAGGCGCGAAAGCGUGGGGGAGCAAACAGG